UGAAAACCGCACUGCAUCAAACGGGCAAAUGAACUUCAUGAUUUAUUUUCUUUUAUACAUAUUUCGAUAAUGAACUUUGAAAAAUGUACUUCUUCAGUUCAUUGAGCGCACUGCUUUCACAAAAAAAGAUUUUACAAACUGAGUAAUCCACACAAAUAGUCUUUUUUUUCUGUCUCCACACUACAAUCACACACAAACUACAACCCUGCUGCACUUUUUAUAAAAUGCACUGAACCACACACAUUAACAUAGCGAGAAUGCAAAUGCUUUUAGCCGCUGAACCACACGUGCUCGCUGGACGUACUGCACGCACACGUUGCUUCAACUGCACGAAGGCGUUGCCAAUGCACUGUACCAGCAAGCGAGCUGCAAAGCAAACUUCAGUGAGCUGCAAAAAAAACUUUAGUGAGCUGCAGAGAGGGGCCCCUCGCCUUGGGCAACCGGAGCCAUCGCCAUCCUGGACCCAUCAUCCGUCCACUCCGGCGCCAUUGAGGAGCCCACGGCCUGAUCACGGCAAGGAGCUCGAACAGAGUAGGAGGGGGUUGAUUGGCGACAAACUGCUCACCGCACUUCUUACAUCGGCACCGCCACCGGACUACAUGAACGCGUGCACCGCACUGCACGACACAUGCCGGAGACUGCGAGGGCUCACCCUCAACGAACUGCAUCAACGCACUGGAAAAUGUACAAAAUGAAAGCUUCUGAACUGUACUGCACUACUCAUCAGUUUUUCUGAAAACACUAAAUUAUUCUGAACACCAAAAAUUUUGGGACGGGAUGCGCACGGAGUCGCACUUCCGUACUGCACGCAGUUGGUGGCUGGGACCUCGCCAGAAUACGAGGAAAGGGGGUCGGCAGAGAGGUUGGGGAGAAGGUCACCUGAAUGAGAAGGAUGCGACGGGGGUCAGAUUUGCGGUGGAGGAAGGAGUCCAGCUGCACGCGCGCAGGUGGGGAUCCGGCCGCCAGCGCGUGGUGAUAGAGCUUGUCGUAUCCGAUGCGGGGGAGAUGAGGAGGUGGGUUGACUCGUCGGAACUGCACGCCGUCACGCCAUCAUGUGCGUGCGAACUGCAUCGACGACCACAACUACCUGCAACGAUAUUUUAUCUGCACUGCUCGCCGUCAGUAGGAAGACAACAUGGGUGCUAGCAGGGACAAACCGCAUGGGUGUGCGUGACCGAACUGCAAGAAUCAAGUGAGGGAGGUGAGGAGCGGCGGUGCUCUCGCUGCUCUCCUAGCUGCCGUGCUGCUCAC
rnacentral:lncRNA from 1 species